rnacentral:snRNA from 1 species
GUGCUCAUUUCAGCAGCAUAUAUUGUAAGGAAACAGAAAAGAUUAGCAUGGCCCCUGUGCAGCAUGACAUGCAAAUUCAGGAAGCAGUCCAUAUUUUU